CAGAAAUUUUUUUUAAAACUGGUUUCAAAGAAACUAAGAAACAAUUGGAGACUAUUCAUAUAACAAAUAAAAAUGUCAUUUUCUUUUUACAGGUCUCCAAAUGGAAAAAUACAGUUCUGUUUUUCCCUUUCGUGAAACUGGCCCAAAGUGUGAACAAACAAGCCACGACCAGGCUGACAGAUUACAAUCCGUAGACAGUAAUCAUUGUCAGCGGGAUCAUCUUGGAAAACAAAGAGAAACAUGAGCAUCCAACGCCCCAAAUCUGAACCGUUUCGUUUGCUCUAAGCAGUGCGUGCCUGCUGAGGUGUGAGCUGGCUGCCAUCAGUGUCAUUUCAGUGAGUAACGUGAUUGACUUUCCUCCUGCUAUGAACAAGGCCCAAAUUUUCAUUCCACUUCUGGGGCUGUU
rnacentral:lncRNA from 1 species